rnacentral:lncRNA from 1 species
UCUUUGUUCUAUUCUUUUAAUCAACAAAGGCAAGAAUGAGAUGAAUCAGAAGGCUCCAAAAGGCAAGGUCAGAAAAGAAAAGUCCAGAUGCGGCAAAGCAAUCCAGGAGGACCUUGGGGAGAAAUGAAAAAUAAAGCAGGUGGAUUAAGGCUCUCUGUGUGGGGCAUGCAAUUUAAAGGCUCCCCUUGGUCCACCCUAUGGAAUCUGCAGGAAAAUAGGCAUGGCUCCUUGCGCCAUGAUGGGUGAGUGGCUUCUACAAGGAGAAGCCAGGUUUGUCAACCAGGUGGCUCCUGCGGUCCCAAGAGGGGUUGACAAGGUUGCUAAUAGGUCACAUUUAUGAACUUGGAGUUCCGGCUCCAGACUUGUAGGGGUGGGUGAUUGGUGGUUGCAGUGGGAGAGAGAAUGGGUAGGGUUCAAAUCAAGAUCCAUUUGACCAUCAAGGCUGGCCUGAGAAAGCUCGCCGCUCAACUCUACUAUGAAUUACUGACAAAAGUUCUAUGUUUCUUCCGUAGGCGAUGGUCAGAGAGGACAAGAGACAGAAGUGUAUCCUAGGGAUGUCAGUGGGGGGAGAUUUGGUUUUUUAAGAUGGAUGUACUUGACUGUUCAUUGGACCAGUCAGCUGGCCUAAUACUACUUUCUCUAUUCAAACUUGGCAGCAACCUGGGCUGGGAAAGGGAGCCUAGCAUCACCCUGCACACCCCAGCCCGGCCCAGCAUGGCUCUGUAUAGCCCAGCCUUCAUUGGAGGCAUGUCUGGGCCGUUGAGUCUAGUGGCUGAGUCUACCCCCCGUCUCUUUUUCUCUCUCCUCCAUGUUCUCUACCUCAAGAUUCCUCAAGAGAACCAGUGGAGACCAUCCUGGCAAGCUGCCACCCUCUCCCACCCUACGCAGCCUUAACUGACAGCACUUAUUAUGCAAGGAGGAGAUCUAGGAGCCCCAACUGCCUCUGUUGAAUGACCUGUGGACUUGGUUUCCUGAACACGCACACGCACACGCACUCACAAGCGCUCACGCACGUAGAGGAACCAGUUGUCCUGACCUACGAGUGUUAGGAACGGGACCAAAAAAAACCUACGUCCCACCUUUAAUCGAAGGACAGAAGUAUAUACUCCUGUGUACAAGAGAAUGGCCAUUGGACGAUCUCUGCCCUCACUGAAAUAACUAGCUUGGGGACGUGUGAGUGCUACCCUUACGUGCUGCUGCGGUACGAAAUCAACACCAUGAAGAAAGAAACUAUGCUACGUGUUAAGUACCGGAGCAGUAACACGGAGGUUUUUACAACCACCUGUCCGGGGGGGAGUCACCACUGAGCUCCUGAGCACCUACCAAGUCCAAGGCAGUGUGAACAACAGCCCUCACUGAAUCGCCUUCUCAGCAACAUGGUUCAGCCUCAAAACGUUUGGGGACUAACGCGGAGUGCACACGAACACGGUCCGUGUAUUCGUGACGUGACUAUUUACUGAGUGCUCAGCGUGCAAAUGCCAGGUGCUAGACACAGAAUAAAAACUGAAGAAGACGCA